GUGCCAGCAGCCGCGGUAAUUCCAGCUCCAAUAGCGUAUAUUAAAGUUGUUGUGGUUAAAAAGCUCGUAGUUGAACCUUGGGCCUGGCUGGCCGGUCCGCCUCACCGCGUGCACUGGUCCGGCCGGGCCUUUCCCUCUGUGGAACCCCAUACCCUUCACUGGGCGUGGCGGGGAAACAGGACAUUUACUUUGAAAAAAUUAGAGUGCUCCAGGCAGGCCUAUGCUCGAAUACAUUAGCAUGGAAUAAUAAAAUAGGACGCGCGGUUCUAUUUUGUUGGUUUAUAGGACCGCCGUAAUGAUUAAUAGGGACAGUCGGGGGCAUCAGUAUUCAACUGUCAGAGGUGAAAUUCUUGGAUCAGUUGAAGACUAACUACUGCGAAAGCAUUUGCCAAGGAUGUUUUCAUUAAUCAGGAACGAAAGUUAGGGGAUCGAAGACGAUCAGAUACCGUCGUAGUCUUAACCAUAAACUAUGCCGACUAGGGAUCGGACGGUGUUAUUCAUGACCCGUUCGGCACCUUACGAGAAAUCAAAGUGCUUGGGCUCCAGGGGGAGUAUGGUCGCAAGGCUGAAACUUAAAGAAAUUGACGGAAGGGCACCACCAGGGGUGGAGCCUGCGGCUUAAUUUGACUCAACACGGGGAAACUCACCAGGUCCAGACACAAUAAGGAUUGACAGAUUGAGAGCUCUUUCUUGAUUUUGUGGGUGGUGAUGCAUGACCGUUCUUAGUUGGUGGGGUGACUUGUCUGCUUAAUUGCGAUACGACGAGACUUACCUGCUAAAUAGCCCGCAUUGCUCCGGCAGUGCGCUGGCUUCUUAGAGGGACUUUCGGCUCAAGCCGGAAGGAAGUUGGAGGCCAU
rnacentral:rRNA from 1 species